CCCGGGCGUGGUGCUGGACGGCAUGCUCCAUCCGCGCUGGAGCCUGAAUGUCUUCAUGCGCACGCUGUUCGGCAGCGGCGUGCCCCGGU
rnacentral:tRNA from 1 species